UUGGACCUGAUAUCAGACAAGACUACCCGCUGAACUUAAGCAUAUUAAUAAGCGGAGGAAAAGAAACUAACCAGGAUUCCCCUAGUAACGGCGAGUGAAGCGGGAUGAGCUCAAGCUUAAAAUCUCUAUGCAAGUUUUGCAUGGCGAAUUGUAGUCUAUAGAGGCGCUGUCAGUGCAGGCAUUUGGGGUAAGUUCCUUGGAAGAGGACAGCAUCGAGGGUGAUACUCCCGUUUGUACCUGAGUGCUUUGUGCGUACGACACGUUUUCUUUGAGUCGCGUUGUUUGGGACUGCAGCGCAAAGUAGGUGGUAAAUUCCAUCUAAAGCUAAAUAUUGGUGCGAGACCGAUAGCGAACAAGUACCGUGAGGGAAAGAUGAAAAGAACUUUGAAAAGAGAGUUAAAGAGUACCUGAAACUGCUGAAAGGGAAGCGAAUCGUAUCCAGUGUCUAUAAUCUGUGGCAUAUUUCAUUGGCGUAUGUGCGCGUGCUGUGUAUUGGAAGUGACGUUCGUUGCUCCUUGUGCGGUUCUGCGUGUGUCUGCUGGUGCCCUGUGUCAUAGUGGGACGUCAGAGUCAGUUCGUAUGCUGCGGGAAAUGGCUAUUGAGGAGGUAGGUUAGGAGUUCGCUCUUGGCUGUUAUAUCUUGAUAGCUAGUUGUCGUGGUUGGGACUGAGGUGCCUACAAUGUGCUUUGGGGUCAUACGGGUUCUUGCUUGGCGCACUACUUGGAUAGCUUGCUAUGCUGGCGGUGUUGUUAGGUGAUUGAGUCUGUGUGUAACCUGUGCCGUUCGGGACUUUGACGAAAUGGAGCGAUUCGGCCCGUCUUGAAACACGGACCAAGGAGUCUAACAUGUGUGCAAGUGUUAGGGUGUGGAAACCCCAGCGCGAAAUGAAAGUAAAGGGUAGCGUACGCUGCCUGAGGUAGGAAACCUUUGUUCUCAGAGGUGGCACUAUCGACCGAUCAUGAACCUUCGUGGUGAAAGAUUUGAGUAUGAGCACAUAUGUUGGUACCCGAAAGAUGGUGAACUAUGCCUGAGUAGGGUGAAGCCAGGGGAAACUCUGGUGGAAGCUCGUAGCGAUUCUGACGUGCAAAUCGAUCGUCAAACUUGGGUAUAGGGGCGAAAGACUAAUCGAACCAUCUAGUAGCUGGUUCCCUCCGAAAUUUCCCUCAGGAUAGCAGCAACUUAUUUACGAUAGUUUUAUGAGGUAAAGCGAAUGAUUAGAGGACUGGGGGAAGAAACUUCCUUCACCUAUUCUCAAACUUUAAAUCUGUAAGACCUGCAGGUUUCUUAAUUGAACUUGUGGAUGUGAAUAUCAAGUUGCUAGUGGGCCAUACCGGGUAAGCUGGUCUGGCGAUGCGGGAUGAUCCGAACGCAAAGUUAAAGUGCCAAAAUACUCGCUCACCUAGAUACCAUAAAAGGUGUUGGUUCAUUUAGACAGCAGGACGGUGGCCAUGGAAGUCGGAAUCCGCUAAGGAGUGUGUAACAAC
rnacentral:rRNA from 2 species